AGAGUUGGUCAGGCAAUCGCUCUUUGCUGAUGCAAAGGGAGGAAAGUCCGGGCUCCAAAGGGCAGAGUGCCAGGUAACGCCUGGGAGAUGUAAGUCUACGGAAAGUGCCACAGAAAAUAUACCGCCUAUUAUAGGUAAGGGUGAAAUGGUGCGGUAAGAGCGCACCGCGCGAUUGGUAACAGUCGUGGCAGGGAAAACCCCACUCGGAGCAAGACCAAAUAGGAAUCCAUAUUAGCUAUAAUGGCUAAUACGUGUGGCCCACACGGGAUUCGGGUAGGUUGCUUGAGGCGUGUGGUGACACACGUCCCAGAUGAAUGAUUGUCCGCGACAGAACCCGGCUUAUCGACCGACUCUUCUU
rnacentral:RNase_P_RNA from 1 species